CAGUGGGAGCCCUCCGGGGUGACUGCGUACCUUUUGUAUAAUGGGUCAGCGACUUACAUUCAGUGGCGAGCUUAACCGAAUAGGGGAGGCGUAGCGAAAGCGAGUCUGAACAGGGCGUUCAGUCGCUGGGUGUAGACCCGAAACCAGAUGAUCUAUCCAUGGCCAGGAUGAAGGUGCGGUAACACGCACUGGAGGUCCGAACCCACUAAUGUUGAAAAAUUAGGGGAUGAGCUGUGGAUAGGGGUGAAAGGCUAAACAAAUCUGGAAAUAGCUGGUUCUCUCCGAAAACUAUUUAGGUAGUGCCUCGUGAUACACCCUCGGGGGUAAAGCACUGUUAUGGCUAGGGGCCUAUUGCUGGUUACCAAACCAUUGCAAACUCUGAAUACCGAGGAGUGGGUUCACGGGAGACAGACAUCGGGUGCUAACGUCCGGUGUCGAGAGGGAAACAACCCAGACCGCCAGCUAAGGUCCCAAAGACGUGGUUAAGUGGAAAACGAUGUGGGAAGGCACAGACAGCUAGGAGGUUGGCUUAGAAGCAGCCACCCUUUAAAGAAAGCGUAAUAGCUCACUAGUCGAGUCGUCCUGCGCGGAAGAUGUAACGGGGCUCAAACCACGCACCGAAGCUGCGGAUACGUACUUGUACGUAUGGUAGGAGAGCGUUCGGUAAGCCUGUGAAGGUGGCUCGUAAGGGCUGCUGGAGGUAUCCGAAGUGCGAAUGCUGACAUGAGUAGCGAUAAAACGAGUGAAAAGCUCGUUCGCCGAAAGCCCAAGGUUUCCUGCGCAACGUUCAUCGGCGCAGGGUGAGUCGGCCCCUAAGGCGAGGCUGAAAAGCGUAGUCGAUGGGAAAUCGGUCAAUAUUCCGAUACCUGUCUCAAAUGCGAUGUGGGGACGGAGAAGGUUAGGUCAUCCGGGUGUUGGACGUCCCGGUUUAAGCGUGUAGGCGGAUCCCUUAGGCAAAUCCGGGGGGUCAACGUCGAGGCGUGAUGACGAGCAGACUUGUCUGCGAAGUGACUGAUACCAAGCUUCCAAGAAAAGCCACUAAGCUUCAGUUUGAGAUAGACCGUACCGCAAACCGACACAGGUGGGCAGGGUGAGAAUCCUAAGGCGCUUGAGAGAACUCGGGUGAAGGAACUCGGCAAAUUAGCACCGUAACUUCGGGAGAAGGUGCGCCCCGGUAGGUUGUAGUCCCUCGCGGACGAAGGCCGAUGGGGUUGCAGUGAAAUGGUGGCUGCGACUGUUUAAUAAAAACACAGCACUCUGCAAACACGAAAGUGGACGUAUAGGGUGUGACGCCUGCCCGGUGCCGGAAGGUUAAAUGAUGGGGUGC
rnacentral:rRNA from 1 species